AAUGAAUGACUCCCCGGUGGGAGUGACUCCCCGGUCAUUCCUGCCUAAGGUGUGGGUGACUCCCCCAGGAAUAAAUGACUCCCCUAUGCGCAUGUUUGUUCCCGCUAAUGUUGCCAUCAAUGUAAGUAUAUAGUAGCAAGAGUACAUUCAUGCACUCCUCAUAGACAUAUAGUAGAGAAUGAAGAGCCAUGCAGGAUGAAGAGCAAGGUUAGUAGUAGCAUGCAAGGUAGCAAUGAAGCAAGUGCUCAUCCUGUAGUAGACAGCAAGUGACAGCUGGAAUGUAGACCUAUAAAUGUGUGAAGAGCAAAGUUGCAAGGUUAAUUGUUCUAUCCUGUAGUUGACAGCAAGUGACAGCUAGAUCUAUAGUAUAAAACCAGUGAUCGUUCACAGUCAUGUCAUUUGAAGAAGGCAGCAAGAAAUGGAGAAUUUACAAGAGAUUGAAAACUAUUUACGAAAAGGAGAAUACCCUCCUACUAUUAACAGCAAAACAGAGAAGGCAAACUUUAGAAGAAAAUGCAGGCAGAACUUUAAGUUUGAAAAUGGUAGCCUCUAUUAUAAGAAGCACACCAAAGCUGCUGAUGCAGCUGACUGGAGGAUAUGUGUGCGCAGCGAUGAGGAGAAAUCAAGAAUCCUCGAAGAUUGCCAUGCAGGAACAGCUGGUGGCCACUUUGGAAGAGAUAGAACUAUAGACAAGAUAUGUUCUAGAUUCUACUGGAAGUCGAUGGUGGAGGAGAUCCGAGAGUAUGUAAAGAACUGCAGCCAGUGCCAGAGAAUGAACCCAGCAUUUGUAAAGACAAAUGCCAAACUCCAUCCGAUAUCUGUACAACCCAAAGUCUGGCAUCAGGUUGGCAUAGACUUGAUAGGACCUUUGCCGAUUACACCCAAUGGCAGCAAAUAUGUGGUAACAUUGGUCGAUUAUUUUAACAAAUGGGCUGAAGCAGCCCCACUCCCUGACAAAACUGCAUUUGGAGUGGCAAUGUUCCUGUA